UUAAGCGACUAAGCGUACACGGUGGAUGCCCUGGCAGUCAGAGGCGAUGAAGGACGUGCUAAUCUGCGAUAAGCGUCGGUAAGGUGAUAUGAACCGUUAUAACCGGCGAUUUCCGAAUGGGGAAACCCAGUGUGUUUCGACACACUAUCAUUAACUGAAUCCAUAGGUUAAUGAGGCGAACCGGGGGAACUGAAACAUCUAAGUACCCCGAGGAAAAGAAAUCAACCGAGAUUCCCCCAGUAGCGGCGAGCGAACGGGGAGGAGCCCAGAGCCUGAAUCAGUGUGUGUGUUAGUGGAAGCGUCUGGAAAGGCGCGCGAUACAGGGUGACAGCCCCGUACACAAAAAUGCACAUGCUGUGAGCUCGAUGAGUAGGGCGGGACACGUGGUAUCCUGUCUGAAUAUGGGGGGACCAUCCUCCAAGGCUAAAUACUCCUGACUGACCGAUAGUGAACCAGUACCGUGAGGGAAAGGCGAAAAGAACCCCGGCGAGGGGAGUGAAAAAGAACCUGAAACCGUGUACGUACAAGCAGUGGGAGCACGCUUAGGCGUGUGACUGCGUACCUUUUGUAUAAUGGGUCAGCGACUUAUAUUCUGUAGCAAGGUUAACCGAAUAGGGGAGCCGAAGGGAAACCGAGUCUUAACUGGGCGUUAAGUUGCAGGGUAUAGACCCGAAACCCGGUGAUCUAGCCAUGGGCAGGUUGAAGGUUGGGUAACACUAACUGGAGGACCGAACCGACUAAUGUUGAAAAAUUAGCGGAUGACUUGUGGCUGGGGGUGAAAGGCCAAUCAAACCGGGAGAUAGCUGGUUCUCCCCGAAAGCUAUUUAGGUAGCGCCUCGUGAAUUCAUCUCCGGGGGUAGAGCACUGUUUCGGCAAGGGGGUCAUCCCGACUUACCAACCCGAUGCAAACUGCGAAUACCGGAGAAUGUUAUCACGGGAGACACACGGCGGGUGCUAACGUCCGUCGUGAAGAGGGAAACAACCCAGACCGCCAGCUAAGGUCCCAAAGUCAUGGUUAAGUGGGAAACGAUGUGGGAAGGCCCAGACAGCCAGGAUGUUGGCUUAGAAGCAGCCAUCAUUUAAAGAAAGCGUAAUAGCUCACUGGUCGAGUCGGCCUGCGCGGAAGAUGUAACGGGGCUAAACCAUGCACCGAAGCUGCGGCAGCGACGCUGAUGCGUUGUUGGGUAGGGGAGCGUUCUGUAAGCCUGUGAAGGUGUGCUGUGAGGCAUGCUGGAGGUAUCAGAAGUGCGAAUGCUGACAUAAGUAACGAUAAAGCGGGUGAAAAGCCCGCUCGCCGGAAGACCAAGGGUUCCUGUCCAACGUUAAUCGGGGCAGGGUGAGUCGACCCCUAAGGCGAGGCCGAAAGGCGUAGUCGAUGGGAAACAGGUUAAUAUUCCUGUACUUGGUGUUACUGCGAAGGGGGGACGGAGAAGGCUAUGUUGGCCGGGCGACGGUUGUCCCGGUUUAAGCGUGUAGGCUGGUUUUCCAGGCAAAUCCGGAAAACUAAGGCUGAGGCGUGAUGACGAGGCACUACGGUGCUGAAGCAACAAAUGCCCUGCUUCCAGGAAAAGCCUCUAAGCAUCAGGUAACAUCAAAUCGUACCCCAAACCGACACAGGUGGUCAGGUAGAGAAUACCAAGGCGCUUGAGAGAACUCGGGUGAAGGAACUAGGCAAAAUGGUGCCGUAACUUCGGGAGAAGGCACGCUGAUAUGUAGGUGAAGUCCCUCGCGGAUGGAGCUGAAAUCAGUCGAAGAUACCAGCUGGCUGCAACUGUUUAUUAAAAACACAGCACUGUGCAAACACGAAAGUGGACGUAUACGGUGUGACGCCUGCCCGGUGCCGGAAGGUUAAUUGAUGGGGUCAGCGCAAGCGAAGCUCUUGAUCGAAGCCCCGGUAAACGGCGGCCGUAACUAUAACGGUCCUAAGGUAGCGAAAUUCCUUGUCGGGUAAGUUCCGACCUGCACGAAUGGCGUAAUGAUGGCCAGGCUGUCUCCACCCGAGACUCAGUGAAAUUGAACUCGCUGUGAAGAUGCAGUGUACCCGCGGCAAGACGGAAAGACCCCGUGAACCUUUACUAUAGCUUGACACUGAACAUUGAGCCUUGAUGUGUAGGAUAGGUGGGAGGCUUUGAAGUGUGGACGCCAGUCUGCAUGGAGCCGACCUUGAAAUACCACCCUUUAAUGUUUGAUGUUCUAACGUUGACCCGUAAUCCGGGUUGCGGACAGUGUCUGGUGGGUAGUUUGACUGGGGCGGUCUCCUCCUAAAGAGUAACGGAGGAGCACGAAGGUUGGCUAAUCCUGGUCGGACAUCAGGAGGUUAGUGCAAUGGCAUAAGCCAGCUUGACUGCGAGCGUGACGGCGCGAGCAGGUGCGAAAGCAGGUCAUAGUGAUCCGGUGGUUCUGAAUGGAAGGGCCAUCGCUCAACGGAUAAAAGGUACUCCGGGGAUAACAGGCUGAUACCGCCCAAGAGUUCAUAUCGACGGCGGUGUUUGGCACCUCGAUGUCGGCUCAUCACAUCCUGGGGCUGAAGUAGGUCCCAAGGGUAUGGCUGUUCGCCAUUUAAAGUGGUACGCGAGCUGGGUUUAGAACGUCGUGAGACAGUUCGGUCCCUAUCUGCCGUGGGCGCUGGAGAACUGAGGGGGGCUGCUCCUAGUACGAGAGGACCGGAGUGGACGCAUCACUGGUGUUCGGGUUGUCAUGCCAAUGGCACUGCCCGGUAGCUAAAUGCGGAAGAGAUAAGUGCUGAAAGCAUCUAAGCACGAAACUUGCCCCGAGAUGAGUUCUCCCUGACUCCUUGAGAGUCCUGAAGGAACGUUGAAGACGACGACGUUGAUAGGCCGGGUGUGUAAGCGCAGCGAUGCGUUGAGCUAACCGGUACUAAUGAACCGUGAGGCUUAACCUU
rnacentral:rRNA from 1 species